rnacentral:rRNA from 1 species
GACAAACGCUGGCGGCGUGCUUAACACAUGCAAGUCGAACGGAGUGCCUAAGAAAGAGACUUCGGUCAAUUUCUUUGGUUACUUAGUGGCGGACGGGUGAGUAACACGUGAGUAACCUGCCCUUGAGAGGGGAAUAACACACCGAAAGGUGUGCUAAUACCGCAUAACAUAUUGAAACCGCAUGGUUUUAAUAUCAAAGAUUUAUCGCUCAAGGAUGGGCUCGCGGCCGAUUAGGUAGUUGGUGAGGUAACGGCUCACCAAGCCGACGAUCGGUAGCCGGACUGAGAGGUUGAACGGCCACAUUGGGACUGAGACACGGCCCAG